rnacentral:lncRNA from 1 species
UGAAACAUGGUCAGCGAGGAACCACAGUGAUCUGACAUGAAGGGAAACUUUCCUCUAAUUUCUUCAGCUCCAAGACGGCUCCCAAUUCCUGUGUCUCUGACAUCUUUGAGAUCCUUGUGAUUGUUGCUAUUGAAGCCCAUCAGUGGGGUAUGUUACCACUGGAUGGCAUAUGAUACCCUGGUUUCAUGGAGCCCUGCUUGCCAAAUGGAAGAAAGGAACCAAUGCUGACUGGAGAUCUCACUGGAUGCUUUUCCACCAACUUUUUGUUCAGCC